AACGAACGCUGGCGGCAUGACUAACACAUGCAAGUCGUACGAUACCUUCGGGUCUAGUGGCGCACGGGUGCGUAACGCGUGGGAAUCUGCCCCUUGGUUCGGAAUAACAGUUAGAAAUGACUGCUAAUACCGGAUGAUGACUUCGGUCCAAAGAUUUAUCGACGAGGGAUAAGCCUGCGUAGGAUUAGGUAGUUGGUGGGGUAAAGGCUCACCAAGCCGACGAUCCUUAGCUGGUCUGAGAGGAUGAUCAGGCACACUGGGACUGAGACACGGCCCAGACUCCUACGGGAGGCAGCAGUGGGGAAAAUGGGACAAUGGGCGAAAGACUGAUCCAGCAAUGCCGCGUGAGUGAUGAAGGCCUUAGGGUUGUAGAGCUCUUUUACCAGGGAUGAUAAUGACAGUACCUGGAGAAUAAGCUCCGGCUAACUCCGUGCCAGCCGCCGCCGUAA
rnacentral:rRNA from 1 species